UACGGGAGGCAGCAGUGGGGAAUAUUGCACAAUGGGCGCAAGCCUGAUGCAGCCAUGCCGCGUGUAUGAAGAAGGCCUUCGGGUUGUAAAGUACUUUCAGUCGUGAGGAAGGUGUUAAGGUUAAUAACCUUAGCAAUUGACGUUAGCGACAGAAGAAGCACCGGCUAACUCCGUGCCAGCAGCCGCGGUAAUACGGAGGGUGCGAGCGUUAAUCGGAAUUACUGGGCGUAAAGGGCACGCAGGCGGUUAAUUAAGUUGGAUGUGAAAUCCCCGGGCUUAACCUGGGAAUGGCAUUCAAGACUGGUUAGCUAGAGUCUUGUAGAGGGGGUAGAAUUCCAUGUGUAGCGGUGAAAUGCGUAGAGAUGUGGAGGAAUACCGGUGGCAAAGGCGGCCCCUGGGACAAAGACUGACGCUCAUGUGCGAAAGCGUGGGGAGCAAACAGGGAUUAGAUA
rnacentral:rRNA from 1 species